rnacentral:rRNA from 1 species
CCUACGGGUGGCUGCAGUGAGGAAUAUUGGUCAAUGGGCUUACGCCUGAACCAGCCAAGUCGCGUGAGGGAAGACUGCCCUAUGGGUUGUAAACCUCUUUUGUCAGGGAGCAACGCCGGCUACGUGUAGCCGGCCUGAGAGUACCUGCAGAAAAAGCCUCGGCUAACUCCGUGCCAGCAGCCGCGGUAAUACGGAGGAUCCGAGCGUUAUCCGGAUUUAUUGGGUUUAAAGGGAGCGUAGGUGGAUUGUUAAGUCAGUUGUGAAAGUUUGCGGCUCAACCGUAAAAUUGCAGUUGAAACUGGCAGUCUUGAGUACAGUAGAGGUGGGCGGAAUUCGUGGUGUAGCGGUGAAAUGCUUAGAUAUCACGAAGAACUCCGAUUGCGAAGGCAGCUCACUGGACUGCAACUGACACUGAGGCUCGAAAGUGUGGGUAUCAAACAGGAUUAGAUACCCUUGUAGUC